CCAGGAGUGAAGCUGGCUGCCAUGUCCUAUCCACAGAGUGCCUGCACUAGGUUGGGGUGUUGUUCCAGGACCUUACUUCAGAUAUCUCCUCCAAGCAUUUGGAGACCUCAUUUCUUGUUUUAACUCCCUCUCUGACUGAAAUACCCUGAGUGGUUUCUGUUUCAUUUUCUAUUGGAAACUGACAGAUAAAGAAGCACGUGGAGAGGUCUGUUGGUGAACUCCAAGUUUCCAGGUCCCCCCAGUGGGAGUGGUUUCCUACCUAAUUAAGCAGCCCAGCCAGCAGAGAAGGCACUGUCCUCCUUGAAACUGGAACCUAUAAGCAGAAUGAUCAAAGGGUGAGAGAAAGACCAUCUACAUCUGAUUUCCAUUUUGGGAGGAAACUGAAGAGAUGGAAAUAUUGCUGCCUUCUAAAAUUUGCGGCAGGGUUUGUUGAGCCUACAGCCGAGCAUGGAGUGGAUUAUGAAGCCUUAAGGUAGGAUAAACCAUGUGGCAGAUACCCAAAGACCUGCAGAAAGCUUGGAUGGACAAAAGCCAAGUCAGCAGGAGGGAGUCAACUAAAGCUACAUCAAAGUAUUCACCAGCCAGGGGUGAGCAUCCAACUGAGUGUGGUAUCCAGUGAACAGUGGGUCAUCACGCCAGAGACCAGAGAAUGCUCUUCAUGCACCCCUGGGGACAUGCAUGACCCCAGAGUUCCCCUCUACAUUGUCUCAUGUCGGUGAGACACAGGCCACACAUCAUAUCAUGUUCACUUGGUAUCUUGGGGAAAAAAAAUCAUGGAAUGAGGAGGAUAUCUGUGAAGUUGAGCUUUUUUGUUGUUCAAGAAAGACCAAUAUAGCCUGAGAGGACUACUUUGAUUAUUGAAUCACACUAAGCUUAAUUAAAUAUCUAUUAAAUGUCUUUUUUCCUGCUAAACAGAGGAUAUUAUCCUGAAGGAAACCAUAGAGACAAUCAAGGCAACAUAUUUUCUCUGCAUAGCUAACUUAGUGUACUAAAUUUUAUAAUACUGCUACGUGUGAUGGAGAUUAAGGAGAAACUCUACUACUACUUAACAAGUCCCAAUGAAUACAAUCUGUUUUUGUUAAUACAUUUUGGAAAACUACCCCUUCUUUGAGAGGGAUGCUAUUUCUGUGUAUGGAGUGGUGGGAGGCUGCAUACAUUAUUUUUCCAAUGGAAAAAUUAAAAAAGAAUUCUGCAGUCUUUCCAAACUGUUUGGUUCCUCUAUCUCUACACGUGGGGGUUACCUAGAAAGCACGAAAAUAUACUCCAACCCUAAUCAAUUGAGUCACAGAGUCCCUCUGCAGUUCUACUGUUUAGCCAGUAUUGAGAAGUAUUGGUCAAGUUCAGCAGAGAGAUUCUUGUGAGCCAUAGUUGCAUCACUCUUCCAUAUUUGGGAUAGUUUCAGUAACAUUAGCACAGCCGGAAUGGCUGCCAACUUUGUUCUGCACACUUAGGAAAGGCUGACUUUCAAAACAGUAAAUGUUUUUUAAUUCUUUAACAUCUGUUUAAAGUUUUCCUUCCUAUCUUAAUGAUUUGAGGCCUGACAUAAAGGACUAGAGUUUUAUGAUGUUCUCACUUGUGUCUGUGAAUUCCCACCUUCCACUCAGAAAGACAACUGAAGUUUAGGUAAAUGAAGGAAACCUGGGGAAAUGCUGGUCUCUUACCCAUUGUUCUUUUAUUUAUUUAUUUAUUUUUUCAUUUCUU